UGAAGCUCUGGUAAACGGCGGCCGUAACUAUAACGGUCCUAAGGUAGCGAAAUUCAUUGUCGGGUAAGUUCCGACCUGCACGAAUGGCGUAACGACAUGGGCACUGUCUCGGCGAGAGACUCGGCGAAAUUGUAAUACCGGUGAAGAUGCCGGUUACCCAUACCAAGACGGAAAGACCCCGUGAACCUUCACUAUAGCUUGAUAUUGGGUUUUAAUGUUGCAUGUGUAGGAUAGGUGGGAGACUAUGAAACUGGUGCGCCAGCUUCAGUGGAGUCGCCCUUGAAAUACCACUCUUGUUGCAUUGGAAUUCUAACUCCGGCACGUGAAUCCGUGUCGAGGACAGUGUCAGGUGGGUAGUUUGACUGGGACGGUCGCCUCCCAAAAUGUAACGGAGGCACCCUAAGGUUCCCUCAGUGCGAUUGGAAACCGCGCGUAGAGUGUAAAGGCAGAAGGGAGCUUAACUGCGAGACGGACGCGUCGAGCAGAUGCGAAAGCAGGGCUUAGUGAUCUUACGGUGCUGUGUGGAAAGGCCGUAACUCAUUGGAUAAAAGGUACUCCGGGGAUAACAGGCUAGUCGCCCCCAAUAGCUCGUAUAAACGGGGCGGUUCGGCACCUCGAUGUCGGCUCGUCACAUCCUGGGGCUGCAGCAGGUCCCAAGGGUUCGGCUGUCCGCCGAUUAAAGUGGCACGCGAGCUGGGUUUAGAACGUCGUAAGACAGUUCGGUCCCUAUCUGGUAUGGGCGUAGGAUAUUUGAGAGAUGCUGCUCCUAGUAUGAGAAGACCGGGGUGGACGUACCUCUAGUGCACCAGUUGUCACGCCAGUGGCACCGCUGGGUAGCUAUGUACGGAAUGGAGAAACGCUGAAUGCAUCUAAGCGUGAAACCUCCCUCAAGAUAAGAUAUCCCACAACGUUAAGUUGGUAAGGCUCCUUCGAGAUAAGAAGGUUGAUAGGCCAGAUGUGUACGCCGUGUGAGCGGUUCAGCUAACUGGUACUAAUAAGCCGAGGGCUUGAUAAC
rnacentral:rRNA from 1 species